GCUUUUUGGAGAUUUUUUUUGAAGUUUUUAGAGAUUGCCUAAAAUAUAAAGUCAAUAUAUGUAUAUUUUGACUAUUUAUUCACAUAUGCAUGUACAUAUGUACAUAUAUUAGUGCAAAAAUUCCACAUACAAUAAGUAGGUUCAGCUUUUUGGAGAGUUUUUUAUGUUUUGUUGAAUGUUGUUAAAACUAUAUUUUGUCGUACGAGCUCUCUGAAACGAAAAAAUACAACCAAAGUAAAUUUCUGUGCAGACUUAAGCUUUUUGGAGAGUUUUCGAAGUUUGUAGAGCUGGCCUAAAUGUACAAUCGAUAUUUAUUUUUACUGUUUUUGCACAUUUACCAGUAAACAAUUUCCAAAUACAACAAAAAACAUUCAAUUAAACUUUAAAAGUGCAGAUUUGAGCCGUUUGAAAGAGCUGUUUGGAGACUUUUGUGAAUUUUGUUGAGUUAAUCUAUCGCUUUAAUGAAAAAGUUAAAUAACUUGGUCUAUCUUCUAUAUUUACUGUCAGUAAAAGUCUUGCUGAAUGAUUUCAAACAAGACUUGUAGGUGUAGACUUGAGCUCUUUGGAGAGUUUCUUGUUUAGCACUUGAAAAAUUGUAUAUUUUGUAUUACCAAAUAAUAUUUCAAUUUGUUUUUGUCGUCAUUCGAAACAAAAAUAAUAUUUUAACGGUAGAAUUUUUACCCUCCACUUGCACUCCAAAUAUCGUUUGAUCUUGAGCUUUUGAAAUUGAAUUAUAUGUGUCACACACACACACUUGCUAUAAAACACAAUCAUUUUGAAAUGCAGACACAAUUUCUUUUGUUUAAGGUAUCAUUACACGUUUUUUAUGCAAAUAUAACUUAAAUACUAAAAAAAAAUUAAAUGCCUAAAAGUAUGCAACGCAUUUUUAAUCACUACAGUAGCGGCUACUUAUUUAAAGCCAACAAUUUUAUAACUAUUGUAGUUGUUAGCAAUUUUAAUAUAAAACUAACUAUCAUUACCUUCCACAAAGCCGUUCGUUCUCAACUUAACUUAACGUAACUUAAUAAAAGUGAAACCAAAGCUUGGCUUACAUUUACUUGAAAAUCAAACUGUUUGUUUGUAUGUCACUGUAUACAAAACACAAAUUGUAACUAGCAGACAGCUAAAGGUCGAUUUUUUGUUGCUUUUUUGCAUUUUUUUAUUAUUUAUAUAUAUUAGUGUUAAUUUAGCUUUAGUUGGAAUUUAAAAAAAAUAUAUGACAACGUUAAUAUUUAUAUAUAUUAAAUCACCUGAAUACAUUUUGUACUCAUACCGAGCCAUUCAAUGGAAUUACGUUGAAGUAAAACUCCUUAAAUAACUGAAACUAUAAACUAUAUACAUAUGUAUGCUCCAUAUACUUAUGCAUAUAUACAUACAUUCUUGCAUAUGUUUGUUGUAAAAUUUUGGUGUUUUUGUAAUAACUUAAGUGUGUUAAUUUAUGGAAUAUUUAACGAAAAUAAACUGAAAAAGCCAAAAAUGACUUCCUUUUAUAAAAAAUUGUAAACUUUUGACGUUAACUUUAUUGUGACCCCCAGUGUAUAAAGUUGAAAAUGUUUACAAAAACUUGUGUGUAUACAUACAUACAUACAAGAAGCCAACUUGAAAUUUAAAAGCAGUAAUAAUGAUUUUAUUGUAAGUAAAUUUUACCGUCCCUGUUUGAAUUCAAAGACACCGAGUUCAUUUUCAGUCCAAAACUCGGUGGAAAAAUAUUUAUGGCAAAAUGAAAUAUGAAAGUUGAUGUGAUAUUGCUAUCAAACACAAAGAAAAAAAAAACAAAAAAAAUACAAAAUAAUAAAAAACAAUUACAAGAAAUACAAAAAAUAAAAAUAACCCAAAAACAAAAAAAUACAACAAAUACAAACAAAAAGAAAAAAAAAUCUUAAAGUAAAAAUAACCUAAAAAUAAAAAAAUACAACAAAUAAAGAAAAAAAAUAACCCAAAAACAAAAUCUACAACAACAAAAAGUAUGUAUUUCUUUCAAUAUACAUUAUUCGAACUAAAUAUUGAAACUAACCUAAAAAAAAACAAAAAAAUAAACAGAAAUAAAAUCUCAAAAAAUUAAUUAAUUAUAAUAAAGCAACAAAAAAACAUAUUUUCAUACUUGCAUUAACGAGUAUACAUACAUAUGCAUUAAAAUAAAUAUUAUACAUACAUACAUACAUAGAAUAUGAAUAUGUUUUUAACAGCGACUAAAAAUAUAAAAAAUAAUUAAAAUAAAACAAAAAAAAUUAAAAUAAAUAAACAUAGAAAUUAAAAAAAUAAAGUUAAAAAAAUUAUGAAAUAUACA